AGAGUUUGAUCAUGGCUCAGAACGAACGCUGGCGGCGUGGAUAAGACAUGCAAGUCGGACGAGAUUUUUCGUUGUAGCAAUACGAUGGAAAGUCUAGUGGCGAACGGGUGCUUAACACGUGGGCAACCUGCCGAGAAGUGGGGGAUAGCUCGCCGAAAGGCGAAUUAAUACCGCAUGUGAUUAGAGUGGACAUCCAUUCGAAAUUAAAGUCGGGGCAACCUGACGCUUCUUGUGGGGCCCGCGGCCUAUCAGCUAGUUGGUGAGGUAAUGGCUCACCAAGGCUUUGACGGGUAGCUGGUCUGAGAGGACGACCAGCCACACUGGGACUGAGACACGGCCCAGACACCUACGGGUGGCAGCAGUCGAGAAUUUUUCUCAAUGGGGGAAACCCUGAAGGAGCGACGCCGCGUGGAGGAUGAAGGUCUUCGGAUUGUAAACUCCUGUCAUUGGGGAACAAUGCGUGAUGGUUAACUGCCGUCGCGUUGAUAGUACCCGAAGAGGAAGAGACGGCUAACUCUGUGCCAGCAGCCGCGGUAAUACAGAGGUCUCAAGCGUUGUUCGGAUUCAUUGGGCGUAAAGGGUGCGUAGGCGGCGCGGUAAGUCGGGUGUGAAAUCUCGGAGCUUAACUCCGAAACUGCAUUCGAUACUGCCGUGCUUGAGGACUGGAGAGGAGACUGGAAUUUACGGUGUAGCGGUGAAAUGCGUAGAUAUCGUAAGGAAGACCAGUGGCGAAGGCGGGUCUCUGGACAGUUCCUGACGCUGAGGCACGAAGGUCAGGGGAGCAAACGGGAUUAGAUACCCUAGUAGUCC
rnacentral:rRNA from 1 species